rnacentral:pre_miRNA from 1 species
UACAUACUCCCUCCGUUCGGAAUUACUUGUCGCAGAAAUGGAUGUAUCUAGAUGUAUUUUAGUUCUAGAUACAUCCAUUUCCAAGACAAGUAAUUCUGAACGGAGGGAGUAGUCA